UUGGAGGGCAAGUCUGGUGCCAGCAGUCGCGGUAAUUCCAGCUCCAAUAGCGUAUAUUAAAGUUGUUGCAGUUAAAAAGCUCGUAGUUGAAUUUCGGGAUUAGUACGCUGGUCGUGCCUUCGGUACGUACUGGUGUUACUGAUUUCUACCUUCUGACGAACCAUCAUGUCAUUAAUUUGGUGUGGUGGGGAAUCAGGACUGUUACUUUGAAAAAAUUAGAGUGUUUAAAGCAGGCUCGCGCUUGAAUACAUUAGCAUGGAAUAAUGAAAUAGGACGUUGAUCCUAUUUUGUUGGUUUCUAGGAUUGACGUAAUGAUUAAUAGGGAUAGUUGGGGGCAUUAGUAUUCAAUUGUCAGAGGUGAAAUUCUUGGAUUUAUUGAAGACUAACUACUGCGAAAGCAUUUGCCAAGGAUGUUUUCAUUAAUCAAGAACGAAAGUUAGGGGAUCGAAGACGAUCAGAUACCGUCGUAGUCUUAACCAUAAACUAUGCCGACUAGGGAUCGGAUGAUGUUAUUUUUAAUGACUCAUUCGGCGCCUUACGGGAAAC
rnacentral:rRNA from 1 species